GAGAGGGGUGUGUGAGUGUGCAUUUGUAGCAGCAUCUUAAAGGAGUAGCUUGUCUUCCUGGCUGGCUUUCCCCCAGCACGGUCUUUUUGCACCGUGUGUGUGAGUGGUGGGGAUGGAUGUUGCAAGAAUGCCUGGAUGUGUUUGCGAAAAGGAAAUUAACCCUUCUCUCGCGCCGUUCCCCCACCCCAAUUUAACCGCCACCCUUUAGAGCCACCCCCGUUCCUCCCAUCUCCUUCCCCUCUCUGGAAACUGGGUAUGUGUGAGUUGCACAGAGAAACUCUGCGUUCCAGCGGCGGCUAGAAACUUCCUCCCCGGCGCUGGAGGGGUGGGCUGAUGGGAGGGGGAUGUGCCUGGACCGGCUUGGGGACAGUGUGGAGUCGACCCUCGAGCUGAGUGGCACGCAGAUGGUGGGAGCAGAGACCGGGGAAGGCGGGAAGAGGACCGGUGGGCUCGCAGGGUCCAUCCGCUCCGGAGAGUGUGUUUGUCUAUCUGGAUGGAGAAUGGAGUUUCGUGGCUGUGUAGUUAACUCUUCAGGACGCUCUAGGUUCAAGGUCUGCAGACGAUGGCAGGUGAGAGUCAGGUGAAAGCACCAAGGCUGCAGCAGUUUGGGAAUUUAGAUGCAAUAAUUGUCGACACAAUAACCAGAAUUAAUAACUCCGGCGCUUCUCCUGCGACUCAUUGUGGUAACCUUUGCCCUACUGGCUAGCAUUUUUGGCCAGGAUCCCACACUGGCUGGACUCAAAUUCUCCUGGUAAUUUAUCAAGUGCCUGGGAACACAUUGCCUUGCUGGAGUCAUGUUUUUCGCAAUACAGCAUUCAUCUUAGUUAUAUCUAUUUGGGCUUUUAAAUAAGUAUUGGUAGCUUAAAAUAGUAAAGCCGUAAUCAUGACGGUGAUCUGUUUCCAAACACACCCUCUAAGGAUGGCUGCAAAAUCUUGGCUUGAUCAGAAAAUCUAAGAGGACAAAUCAUUGUCUUCAAUGUCCCGAGUUUCUUACAGUUAAAAAUUAAACUCACCAUUUCAGGGUUUUGGAGAGAUAUUGUUGGCACCUGGUUGGUAACUGGUGGCCAGCGCAUGGACCGCUUUUUUACCCGUACCUGUCCACACAAUCUCAUCGACACCUCUCGUUUGGAUUUUCAUCUCUGUCCUCAACAGUUUCGACGUUUUGACUUGUCGGGCGUGCUAUUUUAAAGCAACCAUUCCAUCUCGGCUCCUGGGGCUGUUCAAGAAAGUCACUGACCCCAAGCAGGGGCACUUCUGCCGACCCCGACACCCCCAUAAAUAAGGAGAGAGCGCAUCACCUUUUAAAUAACGUGCCUGAUCUCCAAAUGCGCCAACUCCGAUAUCAAUAAAAAUAACCCAGUUUCCUCCGAAGGCCUUGCU
rnacentral:lncRNA from 1 species